AGAGUUUGAUCCUGGCUCAGAACGAACGCUGGCGGCAGGCUUAACACAUGCAAGUCGAACGAGUAAGAGCCGUAGCAAUACGGAGUUCUGCUAGUGGCGCACGGGUGAGUAACGCGUGGGAAUAUGCCCUUUAGUACGGAAUAACAGUUGGAAACGACUGCUAAUACCGUAUACGCCCUUCGGGGGAAAGAUUUAUCGCUAAAGGAUUAGCCCGCGUGAGAUUAGGUAGUUGGUGGGGUAAUGGCCUACCAAGCCUACGAUCUCUAGCCGGUCUGAGAGGACGAUCGGCCACACUGAACUGAGACACGGUCCAGACUCCUACGGGAGGCAGCAGUGGGGAAUAUUGGACAAUGGGCGAAAGCCUGAUCCAGCCAUGCCGCGUGAGUGAUGAAGGCCUUAGGGUUGUAAAGCUCUUUUGUCAGGGAAGAUAUUGACGGUACCUGAAGAAUAAGCACCGGCUAACUUCGUGCCAGCAGCCGCGGUAAUACGAAGGGUGCUAGCGUUGUUCGGAAUUACUGGGCGUAAAGCGCGCGCAGGCGGUCUAUCAAGUCAGAGGUGAAAUGCCGAAGCUCAACUUCGGAACUGCCUUUGAAACUGUUAGACUAGAAUAUGGGAGGGGAUAGCGGAAUUCCUAAUGUAGAGGUGAAAUUCGUAGAUAUUAGGAGGAACACCGGUGGCGAAGGCGGCUAUCUGGCCCAUUAUUGACGCUGAGGCGCGAAAGCGUGGGGAUCAAACAGGAUUAGAUACCCUGGUAGUCCACGCUGUAAACGAUGAGUGCUAGCUGUUGGGACCUUAGGUCUCAGUGGCGCAGCUAACGCAUUAAGCACUCCGCCUGGGGAGUACGGUCGCAAGAUUAAAACUCAAAGGAAUUGACGGGGACCCGCACAAGCGGUGGAGCAUGUGGUUUAAUUCGAGGCAACGCGAAGAACCUUACCAGGACUUGACAUGUCCAGUUUGGAUUUCAGAAAUGAUUUCCUUCAGUUUGGCUGGCUGGAACACAGGUGCUGCAUGGCUGUCGUCAGCUCGUGUCGUGAGAUGUUGGGUUAAGUCCCGCAACGAGCGCAACCCUCAUCUUUAGUUGCUACCAUUGAGUUGAGCACUCUAAAGAAACUGCCGGUGAUAAGCCGGAGGAAGGUGGGGAUGACGUCAAGUCUUCAUGGCCCUUAUGUCCUGGGCUACACACGUGCUACAAUGGCAGUGACAAUGCGCCGCUACCUCGCGAGGGGAAGCUAAUCGCAAAAAGCUGUCUCAGUUCGGAUUGUACUCUGCAACUCGAGUACAUGAAGUUGGAAUCGCUAGUAAUCGCGCAUCAGCAUGGCGCGGUGAAUACGUUCCCGGGUCUUGUACACACCGCCCGUCACACCAUGGGAGUUGGUUCUACCUUAAGCUGCUGUGCUAACCGCAAGGAGGCAGGCAACCACGGUAGGGUCAGUGACUGGGGUGAAGUCGUAACAAGGUA
rnacentral:rRNA from 1 species